AAGGUGCUUAUGCUUAAAAGGGAAUGUGGUGAGAAUCCACAACAGCCCCCGCUACUGUGAUAAUGACGAAAACUUAGGGUUUUGGAGAACCUUAACUCCACUGGUAAAUUGGGAAGGGGAAGUUAGUAGGAUGAAUUUAAGUCAGGAGACCUGCCAAAUAAC
rnacentral:ncRNA from 1 species